rnacentral:rRNA from 1 species
AACGAACGCUGGCGGCAUGCCUAACACAUGCAAGUCGAACGAGACCUUCGGGUCUAGUGGCGCACGGGUGCGUAACGCGUGGGAACCUGCCUUUAGGUUCGGAAUAACCCAGAGAAAUUUGAGCUAAUACCGGAUAAUGUCUUCGGACCAAAGAUUUAUCGCCUUUAGAUGGGCCCGCGUUGGAUUAGCUAGUUGGUGGGUAAAGGCCUACCAAGGCGACGAUCCAUAGCUGGUCUGAGAGGAUGAUCAGCCACACUGGGACUGAGACACGGCCCAGACUCCUACGGGAGGCAGCAGUGGGGAAUAUUGGACAAUGGGCGAAAGCCUGAUCCAGCAAUGCCGCGUGAGUGAUGAAGGCCUUAGGGUGUAAAGCUCUUUUACCCGAGAUGAUAAUGACAGUAAUCGGGAGAAUAAGACUCCGGCUAACUCCGUGCCAGCAG